GACGAACGCUGGCGGCGGGCUUAACACAUGCAAGUCGAACGGCAACGCCCUGCUAUUGUGCUGUGCCCGAGUGGCGAAGGGGUGAGUAACACGAGAGCAUCCUGCCCUAGACUUUGGGAUAACUUCAGGAAACUGGGGCUAAUAUCGUAUAGCAUCUCCUCCUGCAUGGUGGGGGUUGGAAAGUCUCGGCGGUUGGGGAUGGACUCGCGGCUUACCAGCUUGCUGGUGGGGGAGUUGCUUACCAAGGCUUUCACGGGUAGCCGGCCUGAGAGGGUGACCGGCCACCUUGGGACUGAGGUAGGCAACAGACUCGUACGGGGGGCAGCGGUCGCGAAUAUUGCACAAUGGUCGGAAGCCUGAUGCAGCACCGCCGCGUGCGGGAUGACGGACUCCGGGUUGAAAACCGCUUCCGCCUGUGACGAAGCGUGAGUGACGGUACUGGGUGAAGAAGCACCGGCUAACUACGUG
rnacentral:rRNA from 1 species